UGCGCAGGCGGGCUUGUAAGUCAGUGGUGAAAUACUGCCGCUUAACGGUAGAACUGCCAUUGAUACUGCGAGUCUUGAAUAUGGUUGAGGUAGGCGGAAUGCGUUGUGUAGCGGUGAAAUGCAUAGAUAUGACACAGAACGCCGAUUGCGAAGGCAGCUUACUAAGCCAUUAUUGACGCUGAGGCACGAAAGCGUGGGGAGCGAACAGGAUUAGAUACCCUGGUAGUCC
rnacentral:rRNA from 1 species